UACGUAGGGUGCGAGCGUUGUCCGGAAUUAUUGGGCGUAAAGAGCUUGUAGGCGGUUUGUCGCGUCUGCUGUGAAAACCCAGGGCUUAACCCUGGGCCUGCAGUGGAUACGGGCAGACUAGAGGUAGGUAGGGGAGAAUGGAAUUCCCGGUGUAGCGGUGAAAUGCGCAGAUAUCGGGAGGAACACCGGUGGCGAAGGCGGUUCUCUGGGCCUUACCUGACACUGAGGAGCGAAAGCGUGGGGAGCGAACAGG
rnacentral:rRNA from 1 species